rnacentral:tRNA from 1 species
GGAUGUAGCUUAGUGGUAAAGCACUUGCCUAGCAUGUUUGAGAUCCUGGGUUCCAUACACAGCACCA